UUGUGAAAUCAGCAUUUUUUCACGCACUUUGUUUUUUGAGUUCAAAUUAUCAUUUUGACAGACAUCUUGUCUUUUUUACAUUUUUAAGAUUGGAUCCUAAGUAUAAUGUGAUCUGGUAUGUAUUAAUUCUCAAUUGUUUAAGUCUGCAUUUGGUUAAAUGAGUGUAUUGGAUGCUUUGUUUGUAUUUUUAUAGUAAGUCACAUAUUUUCGUGGUUCUGGUGACUUGUGAUUUGUGACUUGUUAUCAUCACCAUUGUGAAUGAACGAAUGAAUACAUAUAUAUAGACGAUACAUCGUGUUAUGAUUGUUUAAGCCACAAAUGGACACAUCCUUAAUAGUCCCUGGACAAUAUAUCUGAACCUUCCCCCAACAAGUCGAUCAGAACUUUCUUUACGAAAACGUCGGCUAGUUACAAAUGGCGCCCAACAAGUGUGGAUUAUUUUGGAAUUUUGUGGACAUACCAAUAAUGAACAGUCGUACAGAAAUAAACGGCUUUGUGAUUUUUUUAUAACAGACAGUUUUAUGUACUGGUAACAUUGUGGAACAGUAAUUCAGGAACUAGUAUACCAUAUAACCAUGAAGGAUGACUUUUUGUUUCCUGCCAUUAACAUUGCAACCUGGCCCUGGCAGAGGCAUGUACAGUUCAUUGAUGUUACCAGUGGAAUGCCGCGGACGUCAUUUUAAGACUGGAGGAGCCCAAGCAAUUGGUUGGAACAAACAGACAGGAAGGAGGACCUCAUUUUGCUGAACAUUAUUUAGAGACAGAGUGAUUAAAAACACAUUUGUGAAGAUUAGGACUAUUAUCAAGUGAAGUGUGAAGAUUUGGACUUAUAUUUAGUGAUAUCAAUAUUAAUAAUUAUUAAGACUAAAACAUUUUGUGUUUAAAAUAUAAAUAAAUCCAGUAUCCCGAGGUUCAACAGAUUUUUUAACAGAACAUUGACACCACGGUCUUGGGGUUGAGAGCAGAGAAGACUGAGAGACAUAUAUAUUUGACAUUUGGCGCCACACGCCUUAUGUUGACUUGUGACUUGUGAUUUGUGACUUGUUAUCAUCACCAUUGUGAAUGAACGAAUGAAUACAUAUAUAUAGACGAUACAUCGUGUUAUGAUUGUUUAAGCCACAAAUGGACACAUCCUUAAUAGUCCCUGGACAAUAUAUCUGAACCUUCCCCCAACAAGUCGAUCAGAACUUUCUUUACGAAAACGUCGGCUAGUUACAUACAUGAAGGAUUUGCCAUAUCAAAAAUCGUAAAAAAAAUCUGUAAACGUACAACUAUUUGGACUAGUCUACAGUACUGUACUGUAAGUAUGAUUUUUCAAGCAUUAGUUGUUUUGCUAUUGCUUUGUUGUCACCCCCAUGUAUCUGUUGUUGCCCAAAACGAA